AGGUAAUGGAGCAGAGACUGGAGCAGAGACAAGUUGUUCCCACUGAGCUCUCCUCAGAUUACAGAUUGGUCCACUUACACACAGAUCUUCUUUCAUCUCUCCCACCCCUGAGACAGCAAGGCCAACUCCUCUUCUUCCACCUCCUCCUCAGCCUACUCAUCGUGAAGACAAUAAGGAGAAAGAUCUUCAUGAUGAUUCACUUCCACUUAAUGAAUAGGAGUGGCAAAUCAAAGGCAUUGCAGCCUCUUUCAUCACUGCCGAUUGCUGAUGCCAACCAUGUGCCAAGUGCUUAAUACGUCACCUUAAAUCUUCUCAUCCACCCUCAGAGUAGCUGCAGCAUCAACCCAGUGCCCUGACUUUCAAGACGACUAUGAAAACACCCCAACUGCUGCUAAAUUACCAGCAACAAGGAUCUGACAUUCUUAUUCAAAAGAAAGAACACCGAAAUUGACCUUACCCUGACAAUAUGAUGGCUGAAGGAUUUAUGAUCACUUAUAACAUUUGAAAUUGAGGCGGAACCUGAAGAAUAAGACUCUGGUGAAAGGUCCUAUUUAUGCUUUUGAUGUCUUUCACUUGGACAUUUACCACAUGCCUAUUGGUAGGUUUGUUACAUAGGUCAGUUAAGGUGAUACAAGAAUAAAUAAAACACUAUCCCUAUCCUUUAAUAUCAUUUAUUUAUGGGGUCAAUCACAGAUUUUCAUUUUUCAAAAUCUUUGAUAAAUGUCAGAAUUAUGUUUUUUAAUAUUUUUACAGAAUUAUUACAAUAUAUGGUAGAGGAUGGAAGGCAAGGUAGUAUGAAACGGAAAAGAUAUUUUGAAUUAAGGUAUUUGGACCUGGAUUAAUAUUUUUGCUUUGGUCUUUAUUAGCUGAGUGACCUUGAGAAAGUUCUUCUACUAAAAAAGAACAAAGAUAAUAAUUACUUCAUGAAAUUGCUGUAAAAAACACAUAACAAGUAUAUCCAGACUCAACAGUGUAUGCUCAAAAAUGCAGAUCCUUUUUCCCUUACCUGCAAAUAAAGUCUUACAGUAAUACAGUGGGGGUAAAGGUUUAAACUGGUGGAUUCAAGAAGGGCUAUAGAAAGAGGUAGCAUCUUAAUAGGGGAAGGAGAGGAUCCAAGAAAUCAGAUCCAUUUUCUACAAAAAGAAAUGGGAAGACAGAUAAUUCAAGAAGAAAAGUUUACAUGAUUAAAGACCCGAAGUUAGAAAUAGUGAUGUGUCUCAAUAGUAAGUUAGGAAUUGGGGUGGACACAAUUGUUGGAAGAAGGAUGGUUUCAGCAAAGGCCCAAGUUAGGUGACAAUUUCAAGUGUUUGUGAAGAUAUAUGAACAAAAUUAUAAAGUAGUUAGGGUAUAAGAAAUAGGGAGGAGGGAAUGAAUUAACAUUUAUGGAGUGUCUUGCAUGUUCCAAGCACUGUACUACUUGCCUUAUAAACCUUUCUUCAAUAAACGCCUACAACAAUCCUGAGA
rnacentral:lncRNA from 1 species